rnacentral:lncRNA from 1 species
GUAGAAAUUAACUGUUUAGCUAAUAAUGCAAAUUUGGUGAGGGAAAAACUGGAAAGGUACAUCCAUGUGGAAGUAUGGGGGUGAGCUGAGAAUCAGCCAGAUAGUGUGACCUUCCUAGCUUUGAGCUUCCUAAAAAAAAUAAGAUAUAGUAUGCAGGCAUUUCUUUAUGCUGCCGGUAGUUUCCAGAAUAAAAAGCUGGAUUUUCAAAUGCAACCUUAACUACUCCAAGUUUGUUCUGCCUUCUGUGCAUUAUCUUUGCAUGUUGAUAUGUUCAUUGCAGAAGCAACGGGAAGUACCAUUCCAGUGAGCAGGAACGACAUGACGUGUGUUAGAGAUACAGGGCCUGGUGGUACAGGAUCCUUUGAUGAAGGACGAGACACUGAAAAAAAAUCCAGUGUAACUAAGAAACAUUGUGAUGAAAGAUGGAAAGAACACACAGAAUUUGCAACGUGGGGGGUUCCCACGGUGGCGCAAUGGUAAAGAACCCAAUGAAUAUCCAUGAAGAUGUGGGUUCGAUCUCUGACCUCACAGCAUUGUCUCAAGCUGUGGCAUAGGUCGCAGAUGCAGCUCAGAUCUGGCACUGCUGUGGCUGUGGCAUAGGCCUGUAGCUGCAGCUCUCAUUUGACCCCUAGCUUGGGAACUUUCAUAUGCUGCAGGUGCAGCCUUAAAAAGAAAAAAAAAGAAAAAAGAAAAAGAAUUUCCAAAGUGAGUAUGAAGCAAUAGCCAGGGUCUACAGGAGAGGGAUCUGCAGCAAAUUUCUUACGUGACACGCAGGAGGGGCUUAGUCAAGUGGGGAAGUCUGUGCGUGAGGGAGUGGGUUUCCAUCCAGGGCUGAGCUUGAGCAGAGAACCAAAGCACCUCUGACCAGUGUUGCCAGCCCGCAGGAAGGAGGCGAAGCAGUGAGCUCAGCACACAGGAGCCAAAACAAAUGGAACGUGCAAGACCCUGUGCCCCCUCCUGCCUUCAGGGGAAAAACCUCCAAAGCCCCCAAAACAAAGACAACACCAACCACUACCCGAAACAUAAACUGACAGUUGGUUUGAAGUCAAACCUCAGCAGGGUUGGCAGAGAAAGGAUCUGGUGAUGAUUUGAGGGUCUGUGGAAGCGGCGUUCCUCUCGCUUGAGGCCUCACAAAGGACCUCCAAGUCCUGCUUUAGAAGCAGGAGGCAGACAGCCCAGUCACCAACCUAAGGGCCCUGCGUUCCAAACACACAUUCCUUCUCCAAGUCAUGGGACGAUGUUUGCCAAGUGGCGAUGUUUCACUAGGAGAAGUGGGACGUGGGGGUGAGUAAUUAGCAAGAAUAAUUGAUAAAGUGUCAUAUUUGUCAAUGCGUGGGUGUAUAUCAUAAGCCACAAGGUACUUAGAGCUCCAAGAAGCCACUUGAAAAGAGGCACUAGGUACAUUUAAGAGAUAUUAUUACAAAGUAUAAUAAUAACUUGCUGGCUAUUAAACAAGCGAGGCGAUGAAAACAGACCCCACGAAGUGGGUUUGGAGAACUAUGCCCAGGCAGGUAGGGAAGGGUCUGUUGAAGAGAAAGAGAAGAAAGUCAAGGAUUUUACCAUGAAAAAAAUGGGCUACAGUAAGUAGCCUCGUGGAUAAAAUAACUAACUUUGGUUUGCAAAUUCAUAUGACUUAAUAAAUAACAGGUUCGCAACUGCGUGGUCAUUGUUGGCUGAUGUUUUGCUGAGAGCCACUCUUGGGCACAUGGGAAGCCUUGAGAAGGCCACAGGCGAACACGUGUCAGUUAUCCAUUAAUAGUUGCAUAGAAGAUGGGCCACAUUGAUUAUCACUAUUUUUAAAGACAGACAUAUGCACACAAACAACUUUCCUGUCUGCUCAGGCAGCCAUGUCCCAGAGGUUCUGUCACCUGACCAUUACGGGCCAGUCCUCGAUGGGCAUUUGAUAGUUUGGUGUAUGAUCCCUCUUUCUUGGAGGUUUCGAUCCUAGGGAAUCACAGCAGGUGAAUGAUGCAGGUGUCAUGAAGACCAGGGGUGGGGCAGGUAGCCUUCGGAUGCGAAGGCCAGACCAAGAUGGCGACUCACUGAUGAGGCGACAGAAACGACACGGAAACCCAGAUGGUUUGCGAGAGAUGCUUCUGAAACAACCACAACAGCAGGUGCUUUAAAUGUUAUGCUGCUUUAUAUAUCACUCUCUGAAAUGAAAUUAGCUAUUUAUUUGCUUGUUGACUAUGUCUUUCUGCCAUCCAAACCCAAGUUGCAUUAAAGUAAGAAUUCACUCCAUCUUAUCACCACUUUGGACCCAUGUGUAGCAUAUGGCAGACACACUUAAUAAAUGUGUGUUUAACAGCUGAAUUUCUUUGCGAAACACCCUUUUUGUUAAGUGACCCAAUCUCAGUGACUUAUAACUAUGUGACAUGACUUUCGAAAUACCUUACUCAACUAUAAGCAGUCAUUAGGCUAGACCCCAAGUACGACAGAAGGAAACAGCCCUGUUCCUGACUUUAAGACCAUGAUAGGGUCAUUGAGAUGGAAUGGUAAGUUUGCUCCUUUCAUUUUUUUUUUUUUAACUUUAUAGGUACAUAGAAGAUAAAGUGAUAAAUGACUUAAUUCCCCCAUUACUUUCCAUCAGUGCUGAAGUUUGGCAGCUGACAAAUUGCAGGCAGGUAGGACAGCGCUGAGGAUGAGAAGAGGACAUAAAACUUUUAGAGUUGGGAGCAAUGGGAGUCGGAGGGAGGUUUGUGGGGUAUCUGGGAAAAAGCAGGUGUCCUUACGGGCAGGGAGCCAGAAUCAGAAGGCACUCUAACUUUGUACUUCAUUCAUUUUCAGUCGACCUAUUCCAUGUAUCUGACUCUUUAUAUAUGUUGGGAAGUCACUUCCUUUCCGUCAGGGUGGUCCUGCCCUACUGCCCUCUCAGUUCACCAAGAUGCCCAGGGAUUUAUAGCAAGUUACCCUCUUAUUAGUCCCACUCACCUCCCAUUUAUUAAAAACAAAACAGUAAAUGCUAUUAGAUGCCACACACACCUUCUCAAGUCAGUUUCCUAAUGACACGUAUCCUCGCUUUCAAAAGUACAUUAAUUGGAUAGACAUGAAACACAACACUGGCCUCUCCACUCCUGUUACGUCAAUUACACAUCGUUAUGGUGGACAUCGGACAUGCGCUAAGAAGGUGACCAAGUCAUGCUCAUCAAAGGAAGUUCCUAGAGGACAAAAGCGUAGGGAAGACGAGGCAGAAAGUGGCCCCAAGUUGAGGGAGGGAGGACUUUGCAUUCCAGACGAAAAACUGGGUGUAGGAAGGCAUCGAAGAUUCUAAACAGCUCCAGCUCUAGAAAGGUAACUCUGGUUUCAGUGUGGAGCGUGAGCCAAGAAGACAGAGGAACGUGGGGGGUAGGGAUGCAGCGGUGGAGCCACUGUGUAGCUCGGAGGCCACGUGGCGUGCGAGGUGGUCUUCUCUUCGUGGACUACUGCCCAUUGGAUGGGCUUGUUUGAGAUCCUCCACAUAGAUUAAAGUACUCGGGAGUUCCUGUUGUGGCUCAGCAGGACCCAACUGGUAUCCGUGAGGAUGUGGGUUCGAUCCCUGGCCUCGCUCAGUAGGUUAAGGAUCUGGCCUUGCUUCAAGCUUUGGUGUAGGUCACAGACAUGGCUUGGAUCUGGCGUUGAUGUAGCUGUGGCGUAAGCCAGCAGCAGCAGUCCCCGUUUGACCCCUAGCCAGGAAACUUCCAAAUGCCAUGGAUGCAGCCCUAAAAAGGAGAAAAAAAUAUAUAUAUAUUAAAGCACUCAGUUCCCAGAGCAACCCAGUGAAUGGACACUACUACCCACAACACACUGGAGACAGACCCAAGCCCUCGCAGGCAGUAAUACUGGCAGAGAUGGGGCGGGCUCAGCUCUCUCCACUGUUCCACCUUGUCCAGGCAGUAAGGAUCUACAGAGAGGAAACGGGUAAAAAGCUAUUUUAGGGGUAGAAUCAUGAUGGGGACAACUGAAUGGGUUGAAUGGAGAAAAGAGCAAAGUCAAAGAUAAUUCUGAUGUUUCUAGCACGCACAGUCUGGCAAAAGGGUGACACUGCUAACGGAAUGAAAAUCAAAAAAAAGAAAAAAAAAAAGCAACACUGGGCAGACGAGGAAGAUAACGGGCUCCACUGGGUAUAAAGCGGAGCUUGAGAUGCCUGCAGGCAGGUCUGCCGAGCAGAGAGGCAGUUAGCACCUCUGCAGGGAAGGGGAUUGGCCAGGAGUACUGAGGGCCAGACAGGAGAAACAGACCAAGACCAGAACCCCAGGCAAACCAAAACUGGAGGAGGAGGCAAAGAAAGACACCCUGGUGAAAAAGAGGGUCAAAGGCAUCAUUGGGCAGCUGGAGUCCAGCGGGAGGUAGAAAACACAUGCAUGUGAAGCUCUGAGCUCCCUGGCUGUAGAGGAGACUGUGAAUUAUUUGCUCAGAUGCUAAAUGAAAAGGCACAGCCACGCAAAUAAGAGGCAGGAGCAUCCAGAGAGCCUCGGGAAUCCAUUGGGAACUGGGCCCGUAACUCCAGAAGGCAGCCUGAUUUGAAAAGGAAGCAGGCCACCUGCACAGCUGUGUGGUGGCUGGAAAUGGGGGGGUGGGGGUAGGGGUUGGGGUGAGCUGAAAGCUCCUGGCUAAAAUCCCUGUUUGUUCUGGCCUGACUCUGACCCAGCAUUCAGCUACAUGCCCUGACUUCUGAGACCACAGGGACAAGUGCCCUGCUGCUCCUCGACGGCAUAAAACUAAAAACCAGAUGGGGCGGGCUGGGGGCAGAGCAGUGCACCCAGCUUGCAGAAGAGGACAGCAACCAUGCAGAACAGACUCAGGUGCUACCAUAGGCACUGGAUCCAACAGUUCAAAAAGGCAAGGGCAAAAGUCGGUUUUGAAGGUGGUCGUGCAUUUCUCCGGAUAAGGAUUCCAAAACUUAUAAGGAGCUAUCAGCUCUAGAUGUGGAGAGCAUAUCCAGAGUCAGUGGUUUUAAACGUAGUGAAGGGUCACACCCAGAGAGGAAAAGGACCCAUGAACACACCCCAAAGAGUCAGAGUGACCACAUCCAAUGCAGUUCAACCCCGAUCUACCAAACCUCGUGUCCGUUCUUAAUUCCAUAAGCAAAGCAUGAGUUGACGAAUAUAAAUAUAGAGUCAGGAUGCUUGUGGGGAAAAGUUGCCAGGGAGACAAUGAGUCAACUGAACAGGACUUUCUCUAGAACCCACCUCCUUGUCACCAUCUACGCUCUCCUAAUUCAGGCUCUCUGGUCCUUUGGUUUGUUUUUGUUUUUAAUUUUUUAAAUUAAACCAUAGUUGAUUUAAAAUGUUCUCUCAAUUUCUGCUGUACAGCAGAGUGACCCAGUCAUUCAUAUGUGUAUGUAGACACUAUUUUUGUCAUACUACCCAUCACAGUCUAUCCCAAGAGACUGCACACCGUUCCCCGUGCUGGACCUACCGCUUCCCCAUUCUAAAUGGAAGAGUUUGCAUCUACUAACCCCAACUCCCCAUCGAUCCAUCCCACUCCCUCCCACUUAGCAACAAGUCUGUUCCUUAGGGAGUCUCUUAUUUCCCGUCUCUGAUCCAGGCCAGACAUUUCAGCAAAGUCUCUAAUAUCAAAAUACGGUCGUUAGUUGUCUCCAGCUCAGAGGCCACCAGGGCUUUCCCCCGCCCUUACCACAAAGUCUGAGCCACGUAAGUGGUCCACAAGACCCACCUGCAUCUCCAACCUCAUCUCGUGGGUUUUCCCAGCCAGCACACAAGGCUCGUUGCUCCAUGGACAUCUUGCCAGUCCUCGUGCAU